GUAGGGAAUAUUGGGCAAUGGAGGCAACUCUGACCCAGCCAUGCCGCGUGCAGGAUGACGGCCCUCUGGGUUGUAAACUGCUUUUAUACGGGAAGAAAAAAUACUACGUGUAGUAUACUGACGGUACCGUAAGAAUAAGGAUCGGCUAACUCCGUUCCAGCAGCCGCGGUAAUACGGAGGAUCCAAGCGUUGUCCGGAUUUAUUGGGUUUAAAGGGUGCGUAGGCGGAUCUUUAAGUCAGUGGUGAAAGCCUGCAGCUUAACUGUAGAAUAGCCAUUGAAACUGAAGGUCUUGAAUGUGGUUAAAGUAGGCGGAAUGUAUCAUGUAGCGGUGAAAUGCUUAGAUAUGAUACAGAACUCCGAUAGCGAAGGCAGCUUGCUGAACCAUUAUUGACGCUGAGGCACGAAAGCGUGGGGAGCGAACAGGAUUAGAAACCCUUGUAGUCC
rnacentral:rRNA from 1 species